GUAGCCUGAUUGACUUUGCAAAUUUCAUUGGUUGACUUUCCAAACUUCACUGAUUUUGACAAUACAAACACAAAUGCUCCUUUCAGUUCCAAUAUUUUAGGUUCCCAAUGUCCAACCAUCUUCGUCCCAGUUCUCACUUGUCUUGUUUUGCUUGACAGUGGUUCUCAGAGGCCGGGAGACCUUCCACCUUCAGAAGAAACCCCAAUGGUCCUCAUGGCAUCCGAAGACAAUGGCCAAGCCAGCGAUCCAGGCGACUUCUCAUCCCGCAGUGAAGGAGACCCAGUCCUGCCUUCACCUUCUGCUACUUCCACUGGAUGAACAAUGAAUACAUCGUGGAAGAACAAAACAAAACAAAGCCAUGGUAGAUAUGGAGACAAGACAGCCGUCUGUCGGAAUCACAGAAUGGAAAGCUGUCUAGUCUUGAUGCAACAAGUGGGGUGGUGAUUCCCAUUGGGAAGCUUUUGAAAAGCGACCCUGGAAAUUAAUCUCAGGAUCUUACUGUUUUCUCUUUUCUGGUUGGACUUUUUGUUUCACUGCCUGGGUCCAGAGCAGCUCCAAUGUAAUGUUACAACUAUUCCUACCUCUCCAGAAGCACCUUCUUUUAAGUCCUUGUGUGCCUCCAAAAUGGCAGAACGAGAAGGCCAAAAAGAAAGCAACCGAGAAAGAGGGGAAAAGAGAGAAGACAUGAACCUGGGAGAAAAAACCUCUUAAGAGCAGCUUGGAUCAACUGUGAAGAGAUCUACACCAGCUUUUAAGAGAGAAGAAUUGACUGGUCCAGAGCCUUCUCUUGGAUCCAUUUGGAACUUGGGAGAGAAAAGAAAGAAGCAACCAUCUCAACUGCCAUUUCCCUGGUGUCGGGGGGAGAGAAGAAGGGCAGACACAUCUCCAUCAUGCUUGGACCUGGAAGAGGAAAGGCCAUCCAUCCCAUCUGCCACUGCCCUGUCCUUGGAUGGAGAAAAGGGUCAGGCAUGGCACCAUCGUGCCAAGGUCCAGAAGCAGAAGAAAAGCCCUCUCUCAUUCCCAACUGCCACUGACUUUAGAGGGAGGGAAAAAGCACAGAUCCAUCAUGUCUAGACUCAGAAGUAGAGGAAAGACCAUCCAUCCCAACUGCCACUGCCCUGUCCUUGGAUGGAGAGAAGAGGCAGGCAUGGCACCAUCAUGCCAAGGUCCAGAAGCAGAAGAAAAGCCCUCUCUCAUUCCCAACUGCCACUGGCUGCAUAGGGAGAGAAGAAGCACAGAUCCAUCAUGUCUAGACUCAGAAGUAGAGGAAAGGCCAUCCAUCCCAACUGCCACUGCCCUGUCCUUGGAUGGAGAGAAGAGGCAGGCAUGGCACCAUCAUGCCAAGGUCCAGAAGCAGAAGAAAAGCCCUCUCUCAUUCCCAACUGCCACUGGCUGCAUAGGGAGAGAAGAAGCACAGAUCCAUCAUGCCUAGACUCAGAAGUAGAGGAAAGGCCAUCCAUCCCAACUGCCACUGCCCUGUCCUUGGAUGGAGAGAAGAGGCAGGCAUGGCACCAUCAUGCCAAGGUCCAGAAGCAGAAGAAAAGCCCUCUCUCGUUCCCAACUGCCACUGGCUGCAUAGGGAGAGAAGAAGCACAGAUCCAUCAUGUCUAGACUCAGAAGUAGAGGAAAGGCCAUCCAUCCCAACUGCCACUGCCCUGUCCUUGGAUGGAGAGAAGAGGCAGGCAUGGCACCAUCAUGCCAAGGUCCAGAAGCAGAAGAAAAGCCCUCUCUCAUUCCCAACUGCCACUGGCUGCAUAGGGAGAGAAGAAGCACAGAUCCAUCAUGUCUAGACUCAGAAGUAGAGGAAAGGCCAUCCAUCCCAACUGCCACUGCCCUGUCCUUGGAUGGAGAGAAGAGGCAGGCAUGGCACCAUCAUGCCAAGGUCCAGAAGCAGAAGAAAAGCCCUCUCUCAUUCCCAACUGCCACUGGCUGCAUAGGGAGAGAAGAAGCACAGAUCCAUCAUGCCUAGACUCAGAAGUAGAGGAAAGGCCAUCCAUCCCAACUGCCACUGCCCUGUCCUUGGAUGGAGAGAAGAGGCAGGCAUGGCACCAUCAUGCCAAGGUCCAGAAGCAGAAGAAAAGCCCUCUCUCGUUCCCAACUGCCACUGGCUGCAUAGGGAGAGAAGAAGCACAGAUCCAUCAUGUCUAGACUCAGAAGUAGAGGAAAGGCCAUCCAUCCCAACUGCCACUGCCCUGUCCUUGGAUGGAGAGAAGAGGCAGGCAUGGCACCAUCAUGCCAAGGUCCAGAAGCAGAAGAAAAGCCCUCUCUCAUUCCCAACUGCCACUGGCUGCAUAGGGAGAGAAGAAGCACAGAUCCAUCAUGCCUAGACUCAGAAGUAGAGGAAAGGCCAUCUGUCCCAACUGCCACUGCCCUGUCCUUGGAUGGAAAGAAGAGGCAGACAUAGCAUAAUCAUGUCAAUGUCCAGAAGCAGAAGAAAAGCCCUCUCUCAUUCCCAACUGCCACUGACUUUAGAGGGAGGGAAAAAGCACAGAUCCAUCAUGUCUAGACUCAGAAGUAGAGGAAAGGCCAUCCAUCCCAACUGCCACUGCCCUGUCCUUGGAUGGAGAGAAGAGGCAGGCAUGGCACCAUCAUGCCAAGGUCCAGAAGCAGAAGAAAAGCCCUCUCUCAUUCCCAACUGCCACUGGCUGCAUAGGGAGAGAAGAAGCACAGAUCCAUCAUGUCUAGACUCAGAAGUAGAGGAAAGGCCAUCUGUCCCAACUGCCACUGCCCUGUCCUUGGAUGGAGAGAAGAGGCAGGCAUGGCACCAUCAUGCCAAGGUCCAGAAGCAGAAGAAAAGCCCUCUCUCGUUCCCAACUGCCACUGGCUGCAUAGGGAGAGAAGAAGCACAGAUUCAUCAUGUCUAGACUCAGAAGUAGAGGAAAGGCCAUCCAUCCCAACUGCCGCUGCCCUGUCCUUGGAUGGAGAGAAGAGGCAGGCAUGGCACCAUCAUGCCAAGGUCCAGAAGCAGAAGAAAAGCCCUCUCUCAUUCCCAACUGCCACUGGCUGCAUAGGGAGAGAAGAAGCACAGAUUCAUCAUGUCUAGACUCAGAAGUAGAGGAAAGGCCAUCCAUCCCAACUGCCGCUGCCCUGUCCUUGGAUGGAGAGAAGAGGCAGGCAUGGCACCAUCAUGCCAAGGUCCAGAAGCAGAAGAAAAGCCCUCUCUCAUUCCCAACUGCCACUGGCUGCAUAGGGAGAGAAGAAGCACAGAUUCAUCAUGUCUAGACUCAGAAGUAGAGGAAAGGCCAUCCAUCCCAACUGCCGCUGCCCUGUCCUUGGAUGGAGAGAAGAGGCAGGCAUGGCACCAUCAUGUCAAGGUCCAGAAGCAGAAGAAAAGCCCUCUCUCGUUCCCAUCUGCCACUGGCUGCAUAGGGAGAGAAGAAGCACAGAUCCAUCAUGUCUAGACUCAGAAGUAGAGGAAAGGCCAUCCAUCCCAACUGCCACUGCCCUGUCCUUGGAUGGAAAGAAGAGGCAGACAUAGCAUAAUCAUGUCAAUGUCCAGAAGCAGAAGAAAAGCCCUCUCUCACUCCCAACUGCCACUGACUUCAGAGGGAGAGAAGAAGCACAGAUCCAUCAUGCCUAGACUCAGAAGUAGAGGAAAGGCCAUCCAUCCCAACUGCCACUGCCCUGUCCUUGGAUGGAGAGAAGAGGCAGGCAUGGCACCAUCAUGCCAAGGUCCAGAAGCAGAAGAAAAGCCCUCUCUCGUUCCCAACUGCCACUGGCUGCAUAGGGAGAGAAGAAGCACAGAUCCAUCAUGUCUAGACUCAGAAGUAGAGGAAAGGCCAUCCAUCCCAACUGCCACUGCCCUGUCCUUGGAUGGAGAGAAGAGGCAGACAUAGCAUUAUUUCAAGGUCCAGAAGCAGAAGAAAAGCCCUCUCUCAUUCCCAACUGCCACUGACUUUAGAGGGAGGGAAGAAGCACAGAUCCAUCAUGCCUAGUAGAGGAAAGGCCAUCCAUCCCAACUGCCACUGCCCUGUCCUUGGAUGGAGAGAAGAGGCAGAUAUAGCAUAAUCAUGUCAAGGUCCAGGAGCAGAAGAAAGGCCCUCUCUCCACCCCAACUGUCACUAACCGUGCUGUGGAGGAAGAGCUCAUAUCUCAGCCCACGAGCAUAUGAAAGACCCUUCCUUCAUCCCGACUGCCACUGCCCUCACAGGGAGGAAAGAAAAGGAAGCAUCUGCUGAACUUGCUCCCUUCCCUUUUCCUUUUGUCAUGUCUUCCUUGGGUUGCAAACUGGAAGGCCACAAACUAAGCUAUUUUGUUCAACACUCCGCACAAAGAUGCCGCUAUAGACAUAUAUAUGAUAAGCUUUCAGUUGGGAGCAAGUGAGCAAAUAAGCAACUCAUCCAGUGAAAAGAAAGAUAACUCCUGAGACAUCCAUUGUACGUUCCAGGACAAACUUGGGCCCUCCAGGUGUUUUGGACUUCAACUCCCACAAUUCCUAACAGCCGGUAGGCUGUUAGGAAUUGUGGGAGUUGAAGUCCAAAACACCUGGAGGGCCCAAGUUUGCUCAUGCCUGUUCUAGGAAGUUAACUGGUUAGCAAGGAAACAAAAUGGGAGGAACAAUGAGAGUCGAGACAGUAUUGAUUCCUGGCACAGUGUUAAGUUUGCUCAGCCUUUAGAUCAGAACAGCUAUUUUGGGGCAGAGAAAGGGAAAAUAAAUACACCGUGAUGGAUAUUUUUCCCCCCAGCAUGUUAUUUCUAUUAUCGCAGUUACCACAGUAUCCAAUGUUAGGGACAGUUUUUGGGUUAACUUUAAUGCUAACUUUAAAAGAGGUAGUCUAGAUGGUGUGUUUUUAAUUUAUUUUUCAAAACGUGUUCAUUAUUUUCGUGCAUUUCUUAAAAGUUUUGCACAGAGGGAAGCACUUUCAGAGGACGUUGUUUUGUGUAUUUUUCAGAAUAUGUGUUCCGUUCCAAAUGCAGGUUUUUUGUUGUUGUUUUUUGCACAUUCUCACCUGUAAUAUAUUAAAAGUCUUGGAAGAGUUUUGUCACAACGUUUGCAAAUUCCCAUAUUAAAAUAUGGAUCCAGUCCCUUUCACAA